rnacentral:rRNA from 1 species
GCUUGUCUCAAAGAUUAAGCCAUGCAUGUCUAAGUAUAAAUAAUUCUAUACUGUGAAACUGCGAAUGGCUCAUUAUAUCAGUUAUAGUUUAUUUGAUAGUCAAUCACUACUUGGAUAACCGUAGUAACUCUAGAGCUAAUACAUGCUGGUUAGCCUGACUUCGAGGAAGGGCUGUAUUUAUUAGAUAACAAACCAAUAUUCUUCGUGUCUAUUGUGAUGACUCAUAAUAACUGAUCGAAUCGCAUGGUCCUUGACCGCGAUAAAUCAUUCAAGUUUCUGCCCCAUCAGCUUUCGAUGGUAGUGUAUUGGACUACCAUGGCUUUAACGGGUAACGGAGGAUUAGGGUUCGAUUCCGGAGAGGGAGCCUGAGAAACGGCUACCACAUCUAAGGAAGGCAGCAGG